GGGAUUUCACAUGGAAUUCUAAAACAACCCUAAUAAAAGCGUGUAAUAAUUUGAGGAUCAAACUGGCGUCUCUUGAUUUCCCCUGAAUUGGUGAUUCGUCGUCGCUUCACCAUUUAUCUCUUGAAACCCUACAGUAGUAUAUCUGCUUCACUAAUUAAGGCUUUCAUCGCCAUCUCCUCCUUCCAUUCCAAUUUAAAACUCCUGAUGAUGUUUGAAGCCGAGAAGAAAAAGACACGGGGAUGACGAUGUGCACUCAGGUAACGUUUUUGGGGUUUACUAACGUUUUUCCGAUCAUUGGGAUUUGGCACAAGCACGAAGAUGAUGUCGGACCAGUGAUCUAGGGUUCGAACAAAGGGAAAGGUUUUUGGCAAGUUUAGACGGCGAUGUGAUCAUUGGCAAGGUUUCCGAUCAUGGGAUUUUUUGAGAGUCUGAUCCAAACACAAAGAGCCUGAAGAUCGGUGACCCUUGGUGGCAACGGUGAUGAAGAAGCUAUGGUGGCAGUCGGAAUCAAUACUAGAUGGAAGCGGUUUUGGGUUGCUAGGGCUCUGUCACGAACCCAGGCAGUGCCGACACCGUAGAAGAGUCCGAUGAUGAUUAGGGGUUGAUUUCAGGUUAUGUUGCAGUUGGGCGGCAUACAUAAAAACAACUUUCAUACAUGAGAAAACAAGGGUAAGGACUGGUAUGAAUUAAUAGAGGUUUCAGGACUGGCUUGAUAAACUGAUGAAAGUGAUGUUUCUUGUUGGUUGCAAUACUCCGUAGACUAACUUUGUGAUUCUGGUUUUCAGUUGGAUCAACCAGGUAAUCUGUCCUUAAACAAACAAACAAACCAAGUAUGAACCCUGUUACAUCAAAGCAGUAUGCAGUUUCAACUUAAUCACUGAUGAUGUAAGCCUGCUAAUGGUGUUAAUCGACACAAAUCCGUUGUUCUGGAGCUCAACUGCUGCCCCUUUAUCGUUCUCCAAGUUCCUAUCUCAAGUUAUUUGAUAUAAAAGUUAGAUUAUUUUGGGAUUCAAAGUGGCGAUGGCGGUUACCCGAUGGUUACAGCGCCGACCAAUGAUGGGAUGCGGUAGCUUAAUCGGCUCAUGGUUCCUGAUUGAAGGAGAAACCGAGAUUCUCAACAAAGUGGAAGAUGGAAAUGAUCUAACUCUUAUUGACAUCGAUUCUAAGCACAAUGAUCCUCGGAUGUGCAGCUUAUAUGCUGCUGAAUUUACACUCUAGAUGUCCAUUUUUAAUGCUCUAGAUGUCACUGUAUGUGACUGAUAGCAGCACUAUUAUAAUAUGGAGCAUCAAACCCCAACAAGAACUCAAAGCCUAAAUUCGGAUUUCAUCAGCACCCUUCCCCAAAACAUUAUUAAAGAUAUUCUAACUCGUAUGCCACUCCGAAGUACACUGGGUGAGAACGAGUGUUUUGUCAAAGAGAUGGCGGUAUACUUGGCGGGGUAUGCCUAAACUUGUAUUUACAGAUAAUAUGGUUACGUUGCCAUCUAAUUGUUCUUACAGACAGUUGAACAAGUAUAAGCUUGUCAGUGCCAUCUUCCGUUAUCUAUUAUUACACAAUGGUCCGACAAUAGUAGAGUUCGACUGCUCGUUUGUUCAUCUUCAUAUGGAGUCUGAGUUUGCCCAAAUAAUAAGUUAUCUUGCAAGGGGAAGUACAGUGAAACAACUCUUUAUUUUUAGUGAUAAUAGAUCUUUCAAGUUACCGGUUUUGUUCUUUUCAUUGCAAGGAUUAGAGGUUGUACAUCUCCACAAUUGUACUUUGGAACCACCAUUGACGUUUAACGGGGUUAGUUUGUUGACGAGCAUGACUUUUCGGAAUGUUGAGGUUUCUGCUCAAAUGCUUCAACGUUUCAUUUCCAAGUGCACGCUGCUCCAGUCUUUCUUUUUGAUAGAACUAGAAAAAGGCAUUGAGUCUAUACCAGGAGGAAAUAAUUUUACAUUAGUUGAUCUUUCACAAUAUGUUCCUUUGCUUGAGACUUUUGCUAUCACAAAGCAUUAUAUGAAGGUAUUGUUUAAGUUAAAGAUUACAUCUGAUGUAAGAAUGUGGUGUUUACUAAUUUUGACUUUGAUACUCGAAUAUCAAAAGUACUUGUGUGCAUGUGGCAUGCCACAUAAACUAUAUUAUAUUUCUAUAAUAUAUGCUUAAGAAAACAAUAGAUUGCACCCGUUCUGACCUGGACCCGUUCUGACCCAGACCCGUUUCGACCCGAACCAAAACAACCCUUUUUUAUAAUUGACCCGAACCCGUUUGACCCAUGACCCGACCCGACCCGUUUGCCAGGUCUACCUUAUGGUAAUGAUCUUUGACGAAUAUAAAGUGCUUCCAUGUUAUGCAAAUUUGGAAUACAGUAUCACUUGUCCGAUUUGUUUGGUACGUCCUAUUAUAAUUCAGUGAGCAUGUCGGACUCAAUUUACUUUUAAAGUGAAGGUAAGUAGUAAUAUUAAGUUUAUAAAAUCUUGUGAGUGAACAUUGAUCAACAAGGAAUACUACAUGGGAUUUGCAGGUUCAAAGAACAAUGGAAAGAAAGACUUGUUAAAGAACAUGGUGAAGUUACAAAGCAAACUAAAGACUAUUGGGAGUUGCAAACUAGAUAUUUUUCAAGAAUUUCAUUAUUGAUAAUAUAAUACUAGAUCUUUAUUAGUUUACCUAUCUUUGAUCCAAUAACCUUCUCUUUGGUUGUAAACACAGAUAGAAUUGGUUAGUUUACCUUUCUAUGAUUCAAUAAGCUCCUCUUUUUACUUUU